GAUGAACGCUGGCGGCGUGCCUAAUACAUGCAAGUCGAGCGAACGGACGAGAAGCUUGCUUCUCUGAUGUUAGCGGCGGACGGGUGAGUAACACGUGGAUAACCUACCUAUAAGACUGGGAUAACUUCGGGAAACCGUAGCUUAUACCGGAUAAUAUUUUGAACCGCAUGGUUCAAAAGUGAAAGACGGUCUUGCUGUCACUUAUAGAUGGAUCCGCGCUGCAUUAGCUAGUUGGUAAGGUAACGGGUUAUCAAGGCAACGAUGCAUAGCCGACCUGAGAGGGUGAUCGGCCACACUGGAACUGAGACACGGUCCAGACUCCUACGGGAGGCAGCAGUAGGGAAUCUUCCGCAAUGGGCGAAAGCCUGACGGAGCAACGCCGCGUGAGUGAUGAAGGUCUUCGGAUCGUAAAACUCUGUUAUUAGGGAAGAACAUAUGUGUAAGUAACUGUGCACAUCUUGACGGUACCUAAUCAGAAAGCCACGGCUAACUACGUG
rnacentral:rRNA from 1 species